rnacentral:rRNA from 1 species
UACGUAGGGUGCGAGCGUUAAUCGGAAUUACUGGGCGUAAAGCGUGCGCAGGCGGUUUUGUAAGCCAGAUGUGAAAUCCCCGGGCUUAACCUGGGAAUGGCAUUUGGGACUGCAAGGCUGGAGUGCGGCAGAGGAGACUGGAAUUCCUGGUGUAGCAGGUGAAAUGCGUAGAUAUCAAGAGGAAUACCGAUGGCGAAGGCAGGUCUCUGGGCUGACACUGACGCUCAUGCACGAAAGCGUGGGUAGCAAACAGG